AUGACGCUGGCGGAAUGCUUUACACCUGCAAGUCGAACGGUAACAGGUCUUCGGAUGCUGACGAGUGGCGAACGGGUGAGUAAUAUAUCGGAACGUGCCCAGUCGUGGGGGAUAACGUAGCGAAAGUUACGCUAAUACCGCAUACGAUCUAAGGAUGAAAGCGGGGGAUCGCAAGACCUCGCGCGAUUGGAGCGGCCGAUAUCAGAUUACGUAACUUGGUGGGGUAAAAGGCUCACCAAGCCAACGAUCUGUAGCUGGUCUGAGAGGACGACCAGCCACACUUGGAACUGAGACACGGUCCAGACUCCUACGGGAGGCAGCAGUGGGGAAUUUUUGGACAAUUGGACGCAAGUCUGAUCCAGCCAUUCCGCGUGCAGGAUGAAGGCCCUCGGGUUGUAAACUGCUUUUGUACAGAACGAAAAGGCUUCUAUUAAUACCACGGGGCUCAUGACGGUACUGUAAGAAUAAGCACCGGCUAACUACAGUGUCCAGCAGCACGCGCGUAAUACAGUAGGGUGCAACGCGUUUAAUCGGAAUUUACUGGGCGUUAAAAGCGUGCGCCAGGCGGUUGUGUUACGACAGGCGUCAAAUCCCCGGGGCUCCAACCUGCGUGAAUGGCGCUUUGUGACUUGCACAGAUUGGAGUGCGGGCACAGGGGGGAUGGAAUUCCAGCGUGU
rnacentral:rRNA from 1 species